rnacentral:tRNA from 1 species
GGGGGUAUAGCUCAGGGGAAGAGCAUUUGACUGAGUGGUAAAAGGUCCCUGGUUCAGAUCCCCAUACCCCCU